AACAAAAACAUGUCUUUUUGAUAAUAAUUUAAAGUCUAGCCUGCCCAAUGAAUUAUUUGAAUGGCCGCGGUAUUUUGACCGUGCUAAGGUAGCAUAAUAAUUAGUUUUUUAAUUGAAAACUGGUAUGAAUGGUUGAACGAGGAAAAGACUGUCUCAAUUUAAUUUAAUUAGAAUUUUAUUUUUAAGUAAAAAAGCUUAAAUAUAUUUAAAAGACGAGAAGACCCUAUAGAGUUUUAUAUUUUAUUAAAAAUUGAACUAUUAGACUUUUUUUUUUAAUUUUUAUUAAAGUAUUUUAUUGGGGUGAUAAAGAAAUUAAUUAAACUUUUUUUAUAUUUUAUCAUUGAUUUAUGAAUAAGUGAUCCAUUAUUUAUGAUUAAAAGAUUAAAUUACCUUAGGGAUAACAGCGUAAUUUUUUUUGAGAGUUCAUAUCGAAAAAAG
rnacentral:rRNA from 1 species